rnacentral:lncRNA from 1 species
UUUUACACCAUUUUCAAUGGAGCUUGAAUUGUUUCAGCGCACCCCUAUACGAUCUUUGGUACUGAGGUCAAGGCCGGUCAUCAAAUCACUUGCACGCCACGCCAGCAUAUAGGUUGCGCAACUUGUCUACAUUUUCUUGAUACCUGACAGACCGCACAUUUGGCAAGUACUUGCACCGUGCUUGCGAUCUGUUGCAGUGUAGCUCCACGGUUGCUGGCUCGCGUUGGACCGUUAAACCAUGAUUAGGUUGUCAAAGUAUGCAGAAGCGGGUCUUCCGGGGGCCCAAAAAGCCCGGUACGUACAGAAACUGGCAAGCAGUGGCUUGGAUAAAGACCCAUAAUAUCGGCGAUUCCAAGGACCUGGAUGCGUCUCCGGCUGUUAUUCCACAAGUAAAGUGGGGCGAUUUGUCUUAUGUUGACACCGAGCCAGCAUACACGUGAGGAAAUGCGAGCAUGGAAGGCAAUGACGGGUUCAGAUAGCUUUAUACAAGCUGGAUCGAUGGUUCCAUGAUAUGCUUCCGUGGUUUUUGCCAGAGAAAAAAGGAAACAUUGUGUCAAGUCAGCUCACAGACGGGGCUAUUUUGCACACCUUCGUGAGGCAUGUUCACAAGUGGCAGCCCUGAUCUCAUGUGUCGUACGUGCAAACGAGUACAGGAGAAUGACCAGUGUGGAUGCUUGCACGUCCCAGAAAUGUUUCGGCUGCUGAGAUCAGUGCUAUAGACUAUUUAUAGACUAUUUACAAGCCCUGCGACAAAAAGGAAGAAGGGACAGCAAUCAGAUCAUACACAGGCUUGCAAGAGAGACAUAACAAGGCCAACUGCAGAUGAGCUUGCAACCUUCCACCGGGCCGGGCCAUAGCACCAACCGAGCCAGUUCUGCACCACAUUCUGGAUGACUAUGCUGGGGAGUUCAUAGUCUUGAGUGCCACUGACAUAUUACCAAGCAGCCUUUACAAUCCAGAUGCCCUUAAAUGG